rnacentral:ncRNA from 1 species
UUCCAGCUCCAAUAGCGUAUAUUAAAGUUGUUGCGGUUAAAAAGCUCGUAGUCGGAUCUGUGUCUGGACGGUGCCGGACCACCCUGGCGGUCCGUCGUGUCGCGGCCGGCCGUGUCGCGGGACCACGUGUCCCGUCGGCGCGGUCGCCGUCGCGCUCGUCAGCCGUCUCGGGGUGUUAGUUACCGGCACGUCGGCCGGACGUAUUGUCGGCAGGCGGACACGUGUCUCGUGCUUCCGGCGCGCCGCGCGGCCACGCGUCGCGCGGCCGUCGGUGUUCGACGACGGCGGCCGCCUACUCCAAUCUUGCUGCGCGGUGCUCUUCACCGAGUGCCGUCGGCGGGCCGACACGUUUACUUUGAACAAAUUAGAGUGCUCAAAGCAGGCUCGAAUCUGGCGGGGCGGCUUCACGGCCGUCUCGUCAAAAGGCCCUGAAUACUGGUCGCAUGGAAUAAUGGAACAAGACCUCGGUCCCGCGCAUCUCCGCCCUUCGCGGGCGCGCGAAAUCGCCCUCCGGGGCGUUUCCGUGCGCGGGCCGCCGGGCCGCGGGCGCCAGUCGCCCGCGCGUCCCGCCGGGCCGGUUUUCGGGACCGGAGGUAAUGAUCAACAGAGACGGGCGGGGGCAUUCGUACCGAGACGUUAGAGGUGAAAUUCUUGGAUCGUCUCGAGACGAACUGACGCGAAAGCAUUUGCCAAGUACGUUCUCGUAUGAUCAAGAACGAAAGUUAGAGGUUCGAACGCGAUCAGAUACCGCCCUAGUUCUAACUGUAAACGAUGCCAGCUAGCGAUCCGCCGGGCGUUUCAUUAACGACCCGGCGGGCAGCUUCCGGGAAACCGAAGCUUUUCGGUUCCGGGGGAAGUAUGAUUGCAAAGUUGAAACUUAAAGGAAUUGACGGAACGGCAC